CCUACGGGUGGCAGCAGUGGGGAAUAUUGGGCAAUGGACGCAAGUCUGACCCAGCAACGCCGCGUGAAGGAAGAAGGCUCUCGGGUUGUUAACUUCUUUUUAGGAGGAAGAGCAGAAGACGAUACGCCUUGAAUAAGCCACGGCUAACUACGUGCCAGCAGCCGCGGUAAUACGUGGGUGGCAAGCGUUGUCCGGAUUUACUGGGUGUAAAGGGCGUGGAGGCGGAGAGACAAGUCAGAUGUGAAAUCCACGGGCUCAACCCGUGAACUGCUUUUGAAACUGGUUCCCUUGAGUGUGGGAGAGGUAGUCGGAAUUCGUGGUGUAGCGGUGAAAUGCGUAGAUAUAAGGCAGAACACCAGUGGCGAAGGCGGAUUACUGGACGAUAACUGACGGUGAGGCGCGAAAGCGUGGGGAGCAAACAGGAUUAGAUACCCUUGUAGUC
rnacentral:rRNA from 1 species